rnacentral:sRNA from 12 species
UGCAGGAGGUCCCCAAAUGAUGCGGAGCAUCAUUUUUGCAUGGGACCGACGAACUGCCGUCGAAGCUUUAGCUGAGGGGGCGACACCAUAA